rnacentral:lncRNA from 1 species
AUGAGUGUAACUGUACUGUAUACCUAAAAAGUACCAAUAAACUUAAUGAAAAAAAUAUUUAGGGAAUGAAAAAUUUUAAAAUGUCACUUAAAUAUUCCUAUAGGAUGCUAGUGAGCAAAAGACAGAACUUGAGAGACUAAAGCAUAAAAUAGCAGAAGAAGUUCAUAAAAUUGAAGAAAGAAAAAAUAAAAUUGAUGAUGAGUUAAAAGAAGUACAGCCUUUAGUUAAUGAAGCUAAACUUGCAGUGGGAAACAUUAAGCCAGAAUCUCUUUCAGAAAUUCGCUCACUACGUAUGCCACCUGAUAUAAUCCGAGACAUUCUGGAAGGAGUUUUAAGGUUGAUGGGCAUUUUUGAUACCUCUUGGGUGAGCAUGAAAAGGCAAGUUUUUGAAUUUGUGAAAAGUUUUAUUUCAGCAAAGAAGUAAACCU